rnacentral:rRNA from 1 species
GAUGAACGCUAGCUACAGGCUUAACACAUGCAAGUCGAGGGGCAGCAUUUCAGUUUGCCUGCAAACUGGAGAUGGCGACCGGCGCACGGGUGAGUAACACGUAUCCAACCUGCCGAUAACUCGGGGAUAGCCUUUCGAAAGAAAGAUUAAUACCCGAUGGUAUAAUCAGACCGCAUGGUCUUGUUAUUAAAGAAUUUCGGUUAUCGAUGGGGAUGCGUUCCAUUAGGCAGUUGGUGAGGUAACGGCUCACCAAACCUUCGAUGGAUAGGGGUUCUGAGAGGAAGGUCCCCCACAUUGGAACUGAGACACGGUCCAAACUCCUACGGGAGGCAGCAGUGAGGAAUAUUGGUCAAUGGGCGCAGGCCUGAACCAGCCAAGUAGCGUGAAGGAUGACUGCCCUAUGGGUUGUAAACUUCUUUUAUAUGGGAAUAAAGUUUUCCACGUGUGGAAUUUUGUAUGUACCAUAUGAAUAAGGAUCGGCUAACUCCGUGCCAGCAGCCGCGGUAAUACGGAGGAUCCGAGCGUUAUCCGGAUUUAUUGGGUUUAAAGGGAGCGUAGGUGGACAGUUAAGUCAGUUGUGAAAGUUUGCGGCUCAACCGUAAAAUUGCAGUUGAUACUGGCUGUCUUGAGUACAGUAGAGGUGGGCGGAAUUCGUGGUGUAGCGGUGAAAUGCUUAGAUAUCACGAAGAACUCCGAUUGCGAAGGCAGCUCACUGGACUGCAACUGACACUGAUGCUCGAAAGUGUGGGUAUCAAACAGGAUUAGAUACCCUGGUAGUCCACACAGUAAACGAUGAAUACUCGCUGUUUGCGAUAUACAGUAAGCGGCCAAGCGAAAGCAUUAAGUAUUCCACCUGGGGAGUACGCCGGCAACGGUGAAACUCAAAGGAAUUGACGGGGGCCCGCACAAGCGGAGGAACAUGUGGUUUAAUUCGAUGAUACGCGAGGAACCUUACCCGGGCUUAAAUUGCAUUUGAAUAUAUUGGAAACAGUAUAGCCGUAAGGCAAAUGUGAAGGUGCUGCAUGGUUGUCGUCAGCUCGUGCCGUGAGGUGUCGGCUUAAGUGCCAUAACGAGCGCAACCCUUAUCUUUAGUUACUAACAGGUCAUGCUGAGGACUCUAGAGAGACUGCCGUCGUAAGAUGUGAGGAAGGUGGGGAUGACGUCAAAUCAGCACGGCCCUUACGUCCGGGGCUACACACGUGUUACAAUGGGGGGUACAGAAGGCAGCUACCUGGUGACAGGAUGCUAAUCCCAAAAGCCUCUCUCAGUUCGGAUCGAAGUCUGCAACCCGACUUCGUGAAGCUGGAUUCGCUAGUAAUCGCGCAUCAGCCAUGGCGCGGUGAAUACGUUCCCGGGCCU